UUGUUCCUCCUCAUGCUAGAAGUACAAGGGGAUUUGUUUUCUCUUCCCUCCCAGAGAAGUCUUGGGACUCAUGAAAGCAUGGGGGACCCUGUGAGCUGGAAUUUUUAACACUUGGGCUUUCUCACUGCGAGCCUUCAACAGAUUCUCAGUUGCUGGUUUUUUCCUGCUUCCCUAUCAGGGUCUUUCUCUGCUGGAUAAUUUCAGUUUACCUAUCCUCAAGUUCACUGAUUCUUUCAUAAGAUCAACUCUAAUUGAAAGCCUAUGUAAAGCAGGUAUAUCAAAGAAGGCAGGAGUUCAGGAAGAAGUUGUGCUCUCUCAGAUCCAGAGAGCUAAUUGAGUAAACUGAUCUAGACAGU